rnacentral:misc_RNA from 1 species
GAUUCAGGUACAUUUGAUAUUCACUCUAUAGAUUUGAAUUGCUAGGAUGAGAAAUCGAAUCAAAUCCAAUGUAGUCAAAAGUGCAAAAAGCUCAGCAACAAAUGGAAAAGCAUUUUUUAUAUAUGCUAAACACAAAGCACAAAGCCUGAAGAGUCUCUACUUUAAGGCCAAUGUUAGAAGAUGUGGAGACUAAUUUUGAUGAACAUUUUGAUGGAAAGGAUAUUAUUUUGGAGAUGAGGAUGAAAGGGUUGAGGAUUUUGAUGGGAAAUCUAG